ACGCUGCACAGAGGAACCUCAGCGAACCAAGAAAAAAGAGAAAGUGGCAACGAAAACAAGGGCAAAUUGAGCCCUCCUCGGGGAUUUCCAAUGAACUAACCCAACUCGGACAUUCAAUAAAUACAUGGCUCUUAAUGAGCGUGCGUGUGCGUGCACCCCGCACCCCUAGCUGUGGGUGCGCCCGCCUUGCGCCCGCCGCCCCCAGCCAGAGCCUGCAUCUGGCAGUCCCGAGCCCGAGCGGCAGCCCAGGACGCAGCCGAGGAGCGGUCGCCGGUGCGCUCCGAUUAAAAUGUGAACGGGCCUGCCUUUCUCUCCCGCUGUAUCGUGCCUCUGCCGAGCGCAGUUAAGUGAACUCAGUGAAAGCAGGAGUUCUCCUGCCCAGCCGCAGCCAGGCAGCCCCCGUGUGAUCUCAAGAUUAACACUAGACGCGUAGAAUUUAUGUAGGCUCUUGUCCAGCUCCUGCUUGCCGGGUGAGAUACCAUCGUAGGUAGGUUUUAGCAAAGCCAUUAUUGCCAAGGUAUAGAUACCAAAGGCGGUGGUAACCAAACCCCAAAAGAACGGAUUUUUUUCCUCUGCGGCCCCCAAAGGUUGCUUUUUAUAUUUACGUGUGCGUAUAUGUAUAUAUAUAAAAGAUGGAACACAGAUUUCAUUGAAUAAAUCUGAGAUCUCCAGGUGCAGACGUUUGAAUAGUCGGUGCCAGCACCCCGUGUUUUCCUUUCCUGCCGAUUUUGCUUGGAUCCGGCUCAAAAACCGAGAGAGUCUCGUGGUUUUGUUUACACUGAAUGGGGAGGAUAGGAACAGAGCCAUGGGGCCGCCUUUCAUUAAUAUACAGUGAGGAUUUUGUCUAAAUUACUGCUAUGAAUUUCACAGUACACGCUUUCAAAAGCAGUCUCAGGUGGCCUGAUGAAACGUGAUAGCGCCUCUGCAAACAGAUCCACUUUCUUUCUUUUCAAGAGGGUGUGUGUGCGCGUAUGGGAAGCCCCCCAAAACGUUGUGCUCCUCGAUAACAGAAAUACACUUCUGUUCAGAGGUCUGUCCCCUUCUUCCUCCCCCCCUUUCGUCGUACUUAAUUCUCGAAUCGCUCCCCGGCCUCUCUCCCCCCUCCACGCUGCCCCACCCCAUCCGCCCCCUCCCUUUGCGAGUGUGAUUGUUUUGUCUGGAAAAAAAAAAUCCAAAGUAUAUAACAAGGGGAGAACAGUUAGUGCUGAUUUUCAUUUGCAUACAUUUUCAUAUAUUUUGGUGAAAAUAAUAGACUAGUGGAGAGCUGGGCUUCGAGGCGUCAGUGUGAAGGGAAGGCUAAGGACGCAUCGGUGCUGGAGAGUUGAGAAUAUGCCUUCCCCUCCACCCCCAACCCAGUCACCUUAUUUGAAAAAAAAUUAAAAAACACCUUUUAUUUAAAAACCUAACCCUGGAAGUUUGCUCGCUGCCUGAAAAUCAUAUGCGUGGUUUUUCCUGUUUCCUGCUCUGUAGCUGACAUCAGGGGAGCAACGUGAACACAGGAAAAUGGAAAUCAACAUUUGAAACUUUUAAAUGGAAGCUUUAUUGGGGUUCCACAUAUGGAAAACUGCAAAUAGCAGAAAUAUGUGACUCAAUAAAUUAUUCUGGAGUGACCACAUCCUCUAACUGCCUCCCAGGACAAGAAGGAGAAUGCGAACAAUGCUCCUGAAGGCCCCUUUCCCUCAAAGAAUCACUGCAAUUGAAGGAAAAAUGCUCCAUGUCCCCUCUGCCAGUUGGUGUUUAUCAAAGGACAACGGAGGAAGAGAGACAAAGUGACUGGAUGUGUGUGUUAAUCAAGAGUUGUCAGGACCCUGCCUCUAAAAGAAAGUGCUAAAAUGAUGCUUUUGACAAGACUUUUCUCAAAGUGGAUGCAGUCUAAGGGUUGGAAAACAAGGCCCAAUCAGGCUAGGUCUGACUUGUCGCCUGCUUUUGUAAAUAAAGUUUUAUUGGCUCACAGACA